UACAGAGACUGCAAGCGUUAUUCGGAUUCACUGGGCGUAAAGGGUGCGCAGGCGGUCGGGUGUGUCAGAUGUGAAAUCCCGAGGCUCAACCUCGGAACUGCGUCUGAAACUACUCGACUAGAGUACUGGAGAGGGUAACGGAAUUCACGGUGUAGCAGUGAAAUGCGUAGAUAUCGUGAGGAACACCAGAGGCGAAGGCGGUUACCUGGACAGUUACCGACGCUCAGGCACGAAAGCAUGGGGAGCAAAAGGG
rnacentral:rRNA from 1 species